AUGGAUGCUCUAAACACUUCUUUGGGAAAACUUUGUAACCUCAAGUGGCUGUACAUAUCUUCACCUAAAUCUUGGAUACCUGAGGCAGUAACUUUGUCGCCUCCUCCCCUGAACCUUGCGACACUCCACAUUGUAAAAAGGUCCCGGGUCCCCAGCUGGAUUGGGGAACUCUAUAAUCUCCAGGUGUUGACUCUCUCUGUUGAGAAGUUGGACAAGGACGAUGUUGGUAUUCUUGCGCAGCUACCUGCCCUCAUCGAGCUUACUUUAACUUUCAGUAGAUCCCUGGAAGCAACAAUUGCAAUCUAUGGAAAAUCAUUCACAGCCCUAAAGAAGUUUGAUGUCAGCGGAGAUAUCAUGCCACACCUGACCUUCCAAGCUGGGGCAAUGCCUAAGCUCCAGAGCCUCUUUCUAGGGUUGAACGCCAGGGGGUGGGAGCAGGACGAUAACGCUGCACCUAUAGGUAUCGAGCACCUGUUAGCACUUGAAAAAAUCGAUGUAGGAAUUGGCUACAGGGGUGCUACUGCAUCUGAAAAGAGAAGAGCAGAGUCUGCCAUUAGGAUCGCUAUCAGCAUGCAUCCCGGCCAUCCUCACGUUAUAAUCAAAUGUUGGGACACAGUGAUUGGGCCUUGGUGA
rnacentral:rRNA from 1 species